GGCCUAAAGCGUUCGUAGCCGGAUCAGACAGUCUUGAGUGAAAUCGUUGCGCUUAACAAAACGACGUGCUUGAGAUACUACUGGUCUUGAGACCGGGAGGCGUUAGGGGUAUUCCUGAGGGAGCGGUAAAAUGCUAUAAUCUCAGGAGGACCACCUGUGGCGAAGGCGCCUAACGAGAACGGGUCUGACGGUGAGGAACGAAAGCUAGGGGAGCAAACCGGAUUAGAUACCCGAGUAGUCCUAGCUGUAAACGCUGUGUACUAGAUGUGGCAUAUUCUACAUGGAUAUGCCGUGUCGAAGCGAAGGUAUUAAGUACACCGCCUGGGAAGUACGGUCGCAAGGCUGAAACUUAAAGGAAUUGGCGGGAGAGCACCACAAGGGGUGCGGCGUGCGGUUUAAUCCAACUCAACGCGGAGAAUCUCACCAGCAGCGACGGCAGGAUGAAGGUCAGAUUAAAGGUCUUACCUAACGAGCCGAGAGGUAGUGCAUGGCCGUCGGCAGCUCGUGCCGUAAGGUGUCCUCUUAAGUGAGGUAACGAGCGAGACCCAUACCCAUAAUUGCCAACGGGUUCUUUAGAAUGACCGGGCACAUUAUGGGGACUGCCUUGGAAACAAGGAGGAAGGUGUGGGCCACGGUAGGUCUGUACGCUCCGAAUCUGCUGGGCUACACGCGCGCAACAAUGGCAAGGACAAUAGGAUGCGACACCGAAAGGUGAAGCCAACCCCGUAAACCUUGUCUUAGUUUGGAUUGAGGGCCGUAACUCGCCCUCAUGUCAACGGAAUCCCUAGUAAUCGGACUUCAUCACGGUCCGGUGA
rnacentral:rRNA from 1 species